UGCCACCUCGGCCACGGCGUGUGGCCCGC
rnacentral:sRNA from 1 species